UACGUAGGUGGCAAGCGUUAUCCGGAAUUAUUGGGCGUAAAGCGCGCGCAGGCGGUCUCUUAAGUCUGAUGUGAAAGCCCACGGCUCAACCGUGGAGGGUCAUUGGAAACUGGGAGACUUGAGUGCAGGAGAGAAAAGUGGAAUUCCACGUGUAGCGGUGAAAUGCGUAGAGAUGUGGAGGAACACCAGUGGCGAAGGCGGCUUUUUGGCCUGUAACUGACGCUGAGGCGCGAAAGCGUGGGGAGCAAACAGG
rnacentral:ncRNA from 4 species